rnacentral:rRNA from 1 species
CCUACGGGAGGCAGCAGUGGGGAAUAUUGCACAAUGGGGGAAACCCUGAUGCAGCGACGCCGCGUGAGUGAUGACGGACUUCGGGUUGUAAAGCUCUAUCUUCAGGGAAGAUAAUGACGGUACCUGAGGAAGAAGCCACGGCUAACUACGUGCCAGCAGCCGCGGUAAUACGUAGGGGGCGAGCGUUGUCCGGAUUUACUGGGCGUAAAGGGAGCGUAGGCGGACUUGUAAGGCAGAGGUGAAAUGCUGGGGCUCAACUCGAGGGCUGCAUUUCAAACUGGAAGUCUAGAGUGCAGGAGAGGAGAAUGGAAUUCCUAGGGUAGCGGUGAAAUGCGUAGAUAUUAGGAAGAACACCAGUGGCGAAGGCGAUUUUCUGGACUGUAACUGACGCUGAGGCUCGAAAGCGUGGGGAGCAAACAGGAUUAGAUACCCGAGUAGUC